GGCAGCAGUGGGGAAUUUUGCCCAAUGGGGGAAACCCUGAUGCAGUGACACCGUAUGGGGGACGACGGCCUUCGGGUUGUAAACCUUUUUCCAGUAGGGAAGAAGCGAAAGUGACGGUACCUGCAGAAGAAGUACCGGCUAACUACGUGCCAGCAGCCGCGGUAAUACGUAGGGUACUAGCGUUGUCCGGAAUUAUUGGGCGUAAAGAGCUCGUAGGUGGUUUGUCGCGUCUGCUGUGGAAACGUGCCGCUUAACGGUGCGCGUGCAGUGGGUACGGGCGGACUAGAGUGCAGUAGGGGAGUCUGGAAUUCCUGGUGUAGCGGUGAAAUGCGCAGAUAUCAGGAGGAACACCGGUGGCGAAGGCGGGACUCUGGGCUGUUACUGACGCUGAGGAGCGAAAGCAUGGGGAGCGAACAGGAUUAGAUACCCUGGUAGUCCAUGCCGUAAACGUUGGGCACUAGGUGUGGGGUCCAUUCCACGGAUUCUGCGCCGUAGCUAACGCAUUAAGUGCCCCGCCUGGGGAGUACGGCCGCAAGGCUAAAACUCAAAGGAAUUGACGGGGGCCCGCACAAGCGGCGGAGCAUGCGGAUUAAUUCGAUGCAACGCGAAGAACCUUACCAAGGCUUGACAUGCACUGGAUCGUUGCAGAGAUGUGGUUUUCUUUUUGACUGGUGUACAGGUGGUGCAUGGUUGUCGUCAGCUCGUGUCGUGAGAUGUUGGGUUAAGUCCCGCAACGAGCGCAACCCUCGUUCUAUGUUGCCAGCACGUGAUGGUGGGAACUCAUGGGAGACUGCCGGGGUCAACUCGGAGGAAGGUGGGGAUGACGUCAAAUCAUCAUGCCCUUUAUGUCUUGGGCUUCACGCAUGCUACAAUGGCCGGUACAGAGGGUGGCGAUACCGUGAGGUGGAGCGAAUCUCUUAAAGCCGGUCUCAGUUCGGAUCGUAGUCUGCAACUCGACUACGUGAAGUCGGAGUCGCUAGUAAUCGCAGAUCAGCAAUGCUGCGGUGAAUACGUUCCCGGGCCUUGUACACACCGCCCGUCAAGUCACGAAAGUCGGUAACACCCGAAGCCGGUGGCCUAACCCUUGUGGGCGGAGCCGUCGA
rnacentral:rRNA from 1 species